ACCUUUAAAAAAGCGUUAAAGCUUAACAUUACAAAUUAACAAAUUCCACAAACAACUAUGAACCCCUACUCACUAUUGGAUGACUCCAUAAACAUAUGGAAAACACUAUGCCGGAACUAGUAAUAAGAAUUUAACAUUCUCCAAAAUGUAAGCAUAAGCCAAAACGGAUACCCCAUUGGCAAUUAACGAAAAUGAGCUUAUUUCAGCAACCUAACAAGAAAAAACUGCAAUUUCCAUCGUUAAUCUAACACUAGAACAUUCAUGGAAAGAUUAAAAGGAAAAGAAGGAACUCGGCAAAUCUCAACCCCGCCUGUUUACCAAAAACAUCGCCUCUUGAUAAACUAUAAGAGGUCCAGCCUGCCCAGUGAAAAUUUAACGGCCGCGGUACCCUAACCGUGCGAAGGUAGCAUAAUCACUUGUUCUUUAAAUAAGGACUAGUAUCAACGGCAUCACGAGGGUUACACUGUCUCCUUUUCCCAAUCAAUGAAACUGAUCUUCCCGUGAAGAAGCGGGAAUAAAACUAUAAGACGAGAAGACCCCAUGGAGCUUUAAACCUCACAGCAACUUAACUACCUACUCCCAUAUAACCUGUAAAGUUAUGCAUGUCAGUUUUUGGUUGGGGUGACCGCGGAGUAAAAUUAAACCUCCACGACGAAAAGACUUAAAUCUUUAUCUAAGAACCACUAUUCUAAGAAUUAGUACACUAACGAAAAAUGACCCGAUAAUCGAUCAACGAACCAAGUUACCCUGGGGAUAACAGCGCAAUCUACUUCGAGAGCCCCUAUCGACAAGUAGGUUUACGACCUCGAUGUUGGAUCAGGGUAUCCUAGUGGUGCAGCCGCUACUAAAGGUUCGUUUGUUCAACGAUUAAAACCCUACGUGAUC
rnacentral:rRNA from 1 species